GGACUACUAGGGUAUCUAAUCCCGUUUGCUCCCCUGGCUUUCGCGCCUCAGCGUCAGGUGAGGUCCAGCACGCCGCUUUCGCCACCGGCGUUCCUUCCGAUAUCUACGCAUUUCACCGCUCCACCGGAAGUUCCGCAUGCCCCUACCUCCCUCGAGCUGCUCAGUAUCAGGGGCACUUGUCCGGUUGGGCCGAACGCUUUCACCCCUGACUUAGGCAGCCGCCUACGCGCCCUUUAAGCCCAGUGAAUCCGAACAACGUUCGCACGGUUCGUCUUACCGCGGCUGCUGGCAC
rnacentral:rRNA from 2 species